GUUAAAAUUAAUGGGGAAUUCGACGGCAGCGUUUAUUGCCGAAAUUUGUACCAUUAAACCAAGGCAUUCUUGUUAAAGCAUAAUGUCUUCUGGUGCAUCAGGUAAUAAUCCAUUGAAAAAUCAACAGGAAUAUGUGUCUCAUCUGUCUAAAAACUUUUUAAUGCACGCACAACAUCAGCCCGAUAAAAUUACCAUGUGGUAUCUCAACUUUCUGUUUGCAUUGCAUUGCCACUGGUGUAACGCGUUCUUGUUAACUUUUGUUUUUGUUAAUCUUCAGAAUAAAAGUUUUUUACAUCGAGUUGUGGUAGCUUGUUAAAAUUGAUAUGCUUUUGUAUUUCCUAUUUGCUCUCUCUCUAUAUCUUCUCAUCAAGGAGUGGACUUAAUUUUUAAGUGUAUACACUCCAGGCUCUAGCAUAUAUAAUUUCCAGCAAGGCAGCAUAGAACAUGUCAAGAGUAUCAAAGAUUUUAAUUGCAAUAUUGGCAUACAUAAUGAUGUGUGUUUCUCAUUGAAUUACAAAUCAAUAUAUGUUAAAGGGGCACUAGCUGUCAAGUUCAUGUUCACUGAUUCUAAUCAAAUUCUCAUUUGAUUUGUAACAAUGUAAAUCAUUUAUCCAAACUAUUUAAAGUCUAAAUAAAACAAUAAACAAAGCACAUGCAUGAAAAUACGCUUCGUUUCGUGUGUAUUUGAGUCUACAUGCCAUCUAAUUUUAUAUCGAGUUGACCUCUAUAGUCAUCCGAUGACCAUAUGCGCGAUGUACAGUAGCAUUCAAACGGAUCAAUUCGAUAUCAUUUUUUUCCGAUUUCCGUGUUUCUCUGAAUCACACCGAGUACCGCGGAUUUCACUCCCAAAGUCCUCCAAAGAUUCUCUCCCAACACCGCGUGGCUGUUAAUUGGUUUAUUGCCCAUCGGAUGUACUAAAAAUUAACGACGCGUGACAACAUAAUCGGAUUACCCAGAUAAAUUACCUAUGCACAUUUAAUCGAUCUUGAUUGCACAGGUGUGCUUUAAAAUCACGGUAUUAAAAAUUGAACAAAUGUUUUCCUUUCUUUGACAGAUAAAGAUGUGACAUUAUCAUUUAGAAGAAGAUAAUUAUUAUCUUAUAUGUUUUUGUCCUAUGCCAUUAUCUUUGAAAUAAAACGUACAUACGAAAAAGUGUAAAGAAAAAACUUGUUAUUUUGUGUUUCUAUUACAGUCCGGUAAGGUCAUACAUUGUGUUCUUUCAACAAAGACGAUUCUGACACAAUUAGAAUCUUUUAUGACUUACUCAAUCAGCAAUAUCGGUGCAUUAAUUGUUCAUUAUUUAAAAAUCAACUGGCUAAUAAAAUCAUGUUGUUUUUACGGUAACACGAUUCAUUCAACAAGUAAUUAAACUUAUGAGCAAUGUAAAAUAUUAUGUUUCACCACCUCGGUACUUGAUUUAAAUUACGAAAAGAAACUGUAAAGUGACAACUCUGUUGGACAAAGGAAAUAACUUAAAGUGAUAUUGUUAGCGCUCGUCAUUUUGCUAUUUUACGAAACGGUUUUCAAAUUGACGAAAGUAUUUGUAUCAAUUUCGUCAUUUAAAUUUGGAAAGUGUAAAAAUUUAAAUUACUAUAAUUCUACCUGUCUUCAUGUUUUUGACAAGUUUAUGACGCUCAAUCAUUUUACGUUUACAAAAGAUGUUAAAAGUUGUGAUGAUAAGUAAUCCGCUUAUCGCUAUCCGAUAGGUCACUAAUCCUUUAAUUAUUAUCAAACCUCACUAUUGCCCAUCAUAAUAUUCUAUUCCAGUUAAAUCAGUCAUCAUUUUAUUUUCAAAAUUUCCCAACCGCCUACAAUUGGCAGUUCUUUAUCGUAUUGUUGUCAUUUGAACACAAUUGAUCACCCGGGACAAUUUCCAUCAUAACUUCAAUAUUUCAUCAACCAUAAAUUUAUAUUAUUGACCAUGGACGUAUAACUAAUGUUCAGGUCUACGUCCUUUUUUGAAAGAUAAAAACAUUAAAAUUCAAAUAGUCAAAGAUGUGUUCUCGUUUAUUCGGAAAAGAAUUAUAUUUUAGAUUCAGAUUAAUCAAUUGUAAAAGGAUCUUCGGGAGCCUCAAUACGAUCGCACAAAAAUGUCUUUCACCUUGAGUGAAUUUUUCCCACGGUCGUCUAGAAAGGUCACCUGAGUUUACUGGUACGCGAUAUUACCAGCAUUUUGGGAGGAAUAUCGGAGUUUUUCGGAGUGACUCCGACAUUUUCCUUGGUGUAGGGUGUGGGAGAGUUGGUACUUUUGAACGGUACUGUAUGAAUUAAAUUACCUGAUGCAUUGUGUUUCUUUGUUUACAUUGAACAUGACAUCAUAACUUAAAUAACGUCACAAGUAAAAUCCCUAACAACAAUACCAAAAUUGGAACCAUUACGGUAUUUACGUUUCUUUUUUUAAGGUUCAUCAUAACAAAUGGACAAAUAUGGCCGUAUUUUCACCUCAAAAACUACUCUGUUUACAGACUUACCUGUGCUGUUUGGAAAGUUUUAAUGCCUAGCAUCCACUAGAUAUAUAAAAGCUAAAUGCAUUUUGUGAUUAAGAAAGAUAAAAUGGUUUUUGAUGGGCAUUUUUUUCCGUUUCUGCAGAAGCUGUAAAAAUAAACAAACACCUGAAUUACUUUGAUACAGUCCACUCACCGACUUAGAUAAACUCAUAGCAUCUCAUAGUUGUACCACAACUUAGUUAAUUUUCACACCUUUUGCAUGAAGGAAAAAAAUGCCCAUCAAAAUCCAAAAGAGAUUUUAUCUAUCUGAAACACAAAAUGCAUUUAACUUUAUUAUAUCUAGUGGAUGCCAGGCAUUAAAACUUGUCCAACUUCACUGGUAAGUCUGUACUCAGAGUAAUUUUUGGCAUGAAAAUAUGUGGAAAAUACAGCCAUAUUUGUCCGUUUGUUAUGAUGAACCUUAACCAUGUUAACAAAUAUUUAAGUUACAAAAAAAAUAAUUCAUAGUCUUCAUCCCCAUUCACAGGUAAUGCCUGCCUCAUAUUAUUUUUAUUAUUCUUACAUUUCCAUAUAAGGGAGCUACCAUUUGAUUUUUAUGGGGGGGCUAGGAUGAAAUUUGAAAAAAAUAGGCAGGACAGGAAUUUUGAGUAAAAAAAAAGGCAGGAUGAGACACUUGCAAAAAAAAAAGUCAGGAUGACAAUUUAGGUACAAAAAAAUUGGGAUAAAUUUAAAAAAAAAAGACAGGACCGAAUAGUGAAAAAUAAAAAGGCAGGACAGAGAUUACAACUAAAAAAAAAUGCAGGACAAAAUUUUUCAUCCUAGCCCCCCCCAUAAAAAUCAAAUGGUAUCUCCCUAACCAUAGCCAGUACCUAAAAAGAUUUGUCAAUUCCAAAAAAAACUCUUUGGUCAAUCUUUUCUGUUUUCACCACCAAACUCUUGUGUUCGGCAGUGUGCAGUAAUGAAAAGACCGACCCAAAGAUCUUCUCGAGCUACUCUUAAUAUAGCGACAUAAUAAGUUACAUGGUAAUAACAGUGCAACUUUGACAAAACGAUAGUGUACCCCCCUUUUUCAAUCGUUGAGUCUUUAAAAUUGCAUUAAUUUUUUUUAUUCCUGUCAGGUAAAUGUUUUGCAAUAUAUAUAGAAAAAAUAAUGGUAGGUUAUAUAUUUGUUAUGGUCAGUAAUCUAAUAUCAAUAUUUUUGAAUAUUUUGUACCAUUUUGCUGAGAAGUUAUCAAAAUCCGGACUUCAACGGAGCUUCCAUAUUGUUUUGGCGCCACCAAGUGCAUUCGACCGUGAAACAAGGGAGAAAUUAUUGUUUGUUUACGUUUUUCUUGAAUUACACCCUCUCGGACCAAGUACAACUCGGACCAAUAUAAUUUUUACAGACCGGUCUCGCUGAUUAACAACAAGAAGAAAUAUUUGCGACAAGAAAAAAAAAAUAGCGAAGUUUAUUUAUUAUAUCGUACUCAGUGCAUUUGUUUUCAUGUUCCCUUCCCUUUGCUAUUUUAUAUCGAUAUCAAUAAUUUUAUUUAUAUUGUACCAAGCCAUAUUGCAUUUUUGUGUUUUGUGUAAUUUGUGCUUGUAUUGGUAUUUAUACUUUUGCUCCUUUAGAGCGCUUAUUUAAGAAUUGAAACUUUCUUUUAGUAACUUCAUCGCGGAAGCUAAUAUAUAACCAUAUAUAUAUAUAUAUAUAAAAAAAGAAAAAAGAAAACCCAACAACGCACAAGACUAAAAAGGGCUAGAGGUUCCGCCUGGCUUGCUGCAGGCGCAAAAAAUCACGCGUGGUUAAUUUUAUAUGAUGAGAUAUCAAUACUCUCUAAUUACCUCUCGCCACUGUGGAAUAACUUGACCGUCAACACACAGCAAACCCCAUAGUUAAAAUCGUAGAAGUUGAUGUUGAAUAGGUAACUGAAUAAACUAAACAAGUUGGUGAAAUACCAAGACUCCAAUGAUACUGAUUAAAAGAUAAUAUCUUCGCGUUGUAUGAAAAUAACCCCAAUGUAGGGAGUUGGAUCAAGGCAUCAUAAAGUGUACUAGAAGAACAUGAAGAACACAUAACCCGUAUCAUGCCAACAAUUGGUUUUAGAAUAAUUGCGAUUACUCCAUUUAUCUAGAAAUAUUAUUUCAUGCAGUGUGGGUGCAUUACAAGCUAGCAUAAUAUUGAACUAUGCAAUAUUUAUUAUAUGGAGAAUCCCUUUUCUACCUUUUAUGAUGUUCGUGACCCUCAUAUGAACUUACAUAUUCUAGUGUGUACACUUUUCAAGAAAAUUAAUUAGUUUUUAAACAAAAACAUAAGUCGGGCAAAACAUAAAAAAGUAUGCCCGCGCAUGUAUCGAAUUUUGCUGUUGUUUAGAAAUUUUUAUCAUGUUUACAUGUCUGUUUUUAUUUAAAUGAAAAAUCCAAAGGUUUAUCACCAUGAAAUCUGCACACCGCGACUGCAUCAAAAUGGGAUACAGUGAUGCGUGUAACAAAAAAAGAUACUUUAUUUGGUAUGCAUGUUUACGAAAUGAGAGCUUUGAAAAGAUGACAGCCCGCGAUGUCCAUAGAUAUUUUUCCAAAUACACUACUUUUGUCCAAGCUCAAAACAAUUCAUGUAAUUGGUUUAUAAAAAAAACCCGACGCAUUUUUGUGCCUGUCCCAAGUAAAAAACAUCUAGCAUUUGUUCGUCUUGUAUGUUUUUGUUUUUAAUUAUGGUUAAACUUAUAUGUUUCGGAGUUAACAUGGUUAAGUGUGAUUUCCAUUUUCGCUGUGCUAGUACACAUUUUUAUUUUAUUUUUAUUGAGAGGCCAGCUGAAGCUCGCCUCCGAUGUGGUAUUUUCUAGCUGUGUUGGUGGCUGUAGGCUGUUUUCUGCUAAUUUGUCGAGUUGUUGUCUCUUUGAGCAUGUUGAGAUUGAAAUAAACAAUUAUUUUCCCCGGCAUAGACGACAAUGGUAGCCUUUCUCGAGAUACAGACUUUAGAAAGUUGAUUUUUUUUAUAACGAAACCUUAGUUUAUUAGUUAUUAGGACAGUAUUUUUUGGUCCAAAAAAUAUAGGUUCGGGUAGUCCAAAUAAUUAUGACAUCUUGAAGGCUAUUAUAUUUUUUACAUCGACAGGAAGGUGUCAAAGCAAAAACUUAAAAUAUCCUUCCAAAACGUCAUAAUUAUUUGGACUAAGGUUCGCGUUGCUUUUCAAAGCGUAAUUUGUACUUUGGCCGGGUAAUUGUACAUCCCUACACCAAAAAGACACUAGGUACAGAUCUGAGAGUACUCGCAGUUAACUGACAGCUAGUGCAAAGCCACUAACCACUAAAUUAGUAUAUUUUAAUUCUUUAAUUUUAUGGCAUUCCGAUCCUUUCCAUAAAGAGUUAUAGUUCUUUAAACGUUGUUGCUAGAUAUGAAUAUAUUUACAUGUGAGAGAGUAAAUAGGUGAAAAGUAAGAUAACAAAAAUAUUGAACUCCGAGGAAAAAUUCAAAACGGGAAGUCCCUAAUCAAAUGGCAAAAUCAAAUGAUAAAACUCAUCAAACAGUCAAACAAAUGGACAAAAACUUUCAUAUUCCUGACUUGGUACAGGCAUUUUAAAUUAUAGAAAAUGAUGGAUUGAACCUGGUUUUAAAGCGCUAAACCUCUCACUUGUAUGACAGUCGCAUCAAAUUCCAUUAUAUUUACAACGAUGCUUGAACAAAACGGACAUGAUAGGUUAAUUAGUCAAAACAUGGGUACAGCAGUCAUCACUGAAAUAAGUGACUUUGCUACGGCCAUGUAAUAAAAUAUGCAUACGAGUACAAUCGUCAAUUGAAAAAUAUAAUCGUAUAUAAAAUAGCUGCACAUAUAAUAUCGACAGCUCGCAAAAUAAACUAUUUUCAUUUCUUAGAUGGGAGGGGCUAGUUUCUUUCACAUAAGUUGAAAACAUGACAUAAUGAAUUGAACACUGUAAAUAUGGAAUUUAAUUGUUGUUCAACAUUGCGUUUCAUUACACAAGACUAGUUUAUUCUAUUGACAUAACCAUAUUUAUUGACUUCGUUACAGAUUUAGUCCGAAUCUUUGUUUCUGUUUAAAUUUGUCAUACCCCUAGUUACAUAAAAAAAGAAGCUGAACCUAUGUGGUAAAGUAAGAUGAUUUUAGAUCUAUAUUUUAGGACAUAAGCCUAAAUAUAAAUAGAGAUUUUGAAAUAAGUAACAGAAAAAAAAAUCCGAAGCUAGAUGUCUACAAACUAUAUAUUUUAUAAAAAUAAACUUACCACGAAUAAAUUCAUCAUAGCUACCAGAUUUCGAUUUGAAUGAGCAAAGCCCAUACCGCAUGGUCAGCUAUAAAAGACCCCCGUCUCCCCCCCCCCUCAAUGACAACGUAAAACAAUUCAAACGAGAAAAGCUAACAGCCUUAUUUAUGCACAAAAAAAUUAACGAAAAGCAAAUAUGUAACUCAUAAACAAACGACAACCACGGAAUCAUAGGCUCCUGACUUGGGACAGGCACAUACAUACAUAAUGUGGCGGGUUUAAACAUGUUAGCGGAAUCCCAACCCUCCCCUAACCAUGCUCAGUGGUAUAUGUAUAACAGUACAACAUAAGAACGAACUAUAAAAAUCAGUUGAAAAGAGGCUUAACUCAUCAGAUGGACAAACAUACAAUUGAGCGUCGCCGGGUAAUUGUACAUCCGAACACCAAAAAGACACUAGGUACAGACGAGAGUACUCGCAGUUAACUGACAGCUAGUGCAAAUCUAGCCACUAACCACUAAUUUGGUAUAUUUUAAUUCUUUAAUUUUAUGGCAUUCCGAUCCUUUCCAUAUAGAGUUAUAGUUCUUUAAACGUUGUUGCUAGAUAUGAAUAUAUUUAUACGUAAGACAUGUGAGAGUAAAUAGGUGAAAAGUAAAAUCACAAAAAUAUUGAAAUCCGAGGAUAAAUUCAAAACGGAAGGUCCCUAAUCAAAUGGCAAAAUCAAAUGAUAAAACACAUCAAACAGUCAAACGAAUGGACACAAAUUUUCAUAUUCCUGACUUGGUACAGACAUUUUCAAUUGUAGAAAAUGGUGGAUUGAACCUGGGGUUAUAGCUCUAAACCUUUCACUUGUAUGACAGUCGCAUCAAAUUUCAUUUUAUUUACAACGAUGCUUGAACAAAACGGACAUGAUAGGUAAAAUAGUCAAAACAUGGGUACAGCAGUCAUCACUGAAAUAAGUGACUUUGCUACGGCCAUGUAAUAAAAUAUGCAUACGAGUACAAUCGUCAAUUGAAAAAUAUAAUCGUAUAUAACAUAGCUGCACAUAUAAUAUCGACAGCUCGCAAAAUAAACUAUUUUCAUUUCUUAGAUGCGCGAGGUUAGUUUCUUUCACAUCAGUUGAAAAAUGACAUAAUGAAUUGAACACUGUAAAUAUGGAAUUAAAUUGUUAUUCAACAUUCUGUUUCAUUACACAAGACUAGUUUAUUCUAUUGACAUAACCAUAUUUAUUGACUUCGUUACAGAUUUAGUCCGAAUCUUUGUUUCUGUUUAAAUUUGUCAUACCCCUAGUUACAUAAAAAAGGAACUGAACCUAUGUGGUAAAGUAAGUUGAUUUUAGAUCUAUAUUUUAGGACAUAAGCUUAAAUAUAAAUAGAGAUUUUGAAAUAAGUAACAGAAAAAAAAUCAGAAUCAAGAUGUAUACAUCGAGUUAGCUAUAUAUUUUAUGAAAUAAACUUAACACGAAUAAGUCCAUCAUAGAUGCCAGAUGUAAAUUUGAAUACGCCAGCCGUGUGUCUCCUCUACAAAAGACUCAAUAGUGACGUUAAAACAACAAAGUUUAAAAGACCAAUUAAAGUAUUUAGUUGAUGUGAUCAAAGGAGAUCUCAAUAUCAGUUACAGAACAACUGCAAUACAUCAUAUGUUGCUUGUAAAAGAGGGACGAAAGAUACCAGAGGGACAGUCAAACUCCUAAAUUGGAAAUAAACUGACAACGCCAUGGCUAAAAAUGACAAAGACAAACAGACAAACAAUAGUACACAUGACACAACAUAGGAAACUAAAGAAUAAGUAACACGAACCCCACCAAAAAACUAGGGGUGAUAUCAGGUGCUCCGGAAGGGUAAGCAAAUCCUGCUCCACAUCUGACACACGUCGUGUUCCUCAUCUUAUUACAAAUCCGGUAAAUAGUCUAAUUCGGUAGGUCACAUUCAUGAAAGGGAAGGGGAUUGUAGUUACGACGUAAAGAACAUAUCCGAUAUCAUCUGUGAAACGGUUAUUCCAUAACGGUCAACCACUCGUGAUGCGUACGUAAAUUUACGAAGGGAUGAUUCCAACUUAACCAUUUGGAACUCUUGGUUUAAUAACUUCCUUGUGAGCAGCAACCCUCUAUCAAGAAAAUCAUGAUAGGAAAUACAAGCACGGGAACAUCGUAUCAAUUGGGAGAUAUAUACCCCGUAUGCAGGUGCUGCUGGAAUGUUGCUAGAAAUGGAAAGUUCACAAUUUGAAAGCUGAAAUCAUCUCUUUUGUUGUAAAUUUUUGUUUUCAACCGACCCUCAUUGUCAAUUCCUAGAUGUAAGUCAAGAUAUGAGGCCGACUUAACUGUAUCUGUUGUAUCCUUUAUCUCUACUUCGAUGGGAUAGAUGCGUUCAACAUAGUCACCAAAUUUUGAAUUUUCUAGUGAGAGAACAUCAUCUGUAUGACGGAUAUUAGAGUUAAAGGAUGUUGCUAACUUCUUAUCUUUCUUCCUAAGAAGUUCCUGUAUGAAGUCAGCCUCAUAAUAAUAAAGAAACAAGUCGACAAGAAGAGGGGCACAAUUGGUUCCCAUGGGAAAUAUGAAGCUCAAAAACACUAAUGAAAGCGGUUUCAUUUGCUCAUUGAUUGAUAUACCAUAACCAUGUUUUUUAAAACUUGUCUUAUAUACUACUUACUAGCAUUGAUUGACAAUUGCUAAUUUGGCUGAUAUAUAUAAGAACUGAGCUGGAACAUACAUUUUUCAUUUACAUUUAAAAAUUUAAAAUGAAAUUAGGCGAUGGUAUGGUCGUCAAUAAAACCACAUUUUUAAACAGUCCAAAGACUAAUAUGAAAUAUACACGGUCUCCACGAGGGCGCUUUUAACCAAUCACAUUCCUAGAAAUGUAUAGGAGGUAAGAUAAUAUUCAUUACACUGGCUUGAGCAGGUGCCACUGUUGAGGAACUGUCAUUUAAAGGGAAAAGAAUAAAUCACAUAUAUCUUAAGAUACUUAACAUGUCGUGACAAUAAUGAGAAUGAUUUUUUUCUCACUUCAGCAUGGUUUUGCAAAAAAGUUCCCAAGUUAGCACGGAACUUUCAAUUCAGUUCUACCAGUAUUGCUGUAGAGUCGUCGGUUCAAAGAAAGUAGUGAAGACCAAGAGACAAAUUACUAAUGCAGUGGAACAUAUAUUGACUUUGAAUAAAACAUGUAUCAUGAUUAUUGGUGGUAGCAUAGCAGAAGGCACAGGUCUCAAAGGAAGCGAUUAUGAUAUGAUGAUAAUAAAUGCCUUAUAUCAUGUUUAUGAAAACGAAGCCGAUAUAAAUAUUACAAAUAAACAUAUUCCAUUGAUAAUAAAGACGAAUGACACAAAGCCUGGAUAUUCAAGAAUAAAACUAAUAGACAAGUCAAGGGAAAAAUAAUGCAGACAAUUUUUUGGGUGUAUAGACGAGGAAGGAUUUAUUUCCAGUCAAGUAUUUCUGGAACAAGGAAGGAUUACGAAUCAUGUAAUUCAUGGUCCAUGUCAUUCUGAUCCUGGUGGAAAUUUUGAUGUUGCGUCAUGUUUCAAAUGCGAUAAAUGGAUAUCGUGUGCUCAUCCAUGGAUAAGUAGAUCACGAACGUUAUGACAACCUAUCAGUUUGGUUGAAUCAAUAGUCGAGUAUGGUGUUCAUUUUGCACCUAUAGGAAGUAAAGGAUCUCCGACCAAGAAUAUAGAAUGGCGUAUAUCAUUUGUCGUUGCCGAAAAACAACUUAUUUAUUCUCUUUUGCAUUGUCAAAUACUGUGUUAUUGCUUACUAAAGAUCUUAUUAAAAGAUGUUUAUGAGUUGGGUUAUAUGGAACUUAUAUGUUCGUAUUACAUUAAAACGAUAAUAUUAUGGCUAUCUGAAGAGGUAGAAAGAUCAAAAUGGAAAAAAGAAAACUUUAUACCGUGCUUAAUGACCUGUGUACAAAGGUUUAUCUAUUGUAUUGUGUGGAAUAUAAUACUUGUGUGCAUUACUUUAUCCCCGACAAUAACAUGUUCGAAGGAAGAUUUCGUAAAUGCGACCAGGAAAUGUAUUAUCAGCACUCAAACGUAUUUCCGACUUUGGCUGGAAAUAUUUUCUUCAUACAGAAACAUUUGUUGAGUUUUCAAAAGACUGGAAAUGUCCCCUGUCUUCAGUUUCUUAUCAUAGUACAUGUUUGGCGGUAUCACCUUUACAGUACCUGACAUACAUUUCAUUAUUACAACAUAAUAAAUAUAGCCAAAAACAAGCCAUAAAAUGUAUUACCAAUGCCGUAUAUGGUUCUUUACAUUUACCUGGUAGUCAAAUAUAUAUCAUGCUUCUGUCAAUGCUGAAUCGAAGGAGGGAUCAGGAAACACAUUUACUUAAGUACAAUUCGGAUGAAAACAAAUCAGUUUAUAGACAACAUAAGCUACGAAUGUAUUAUUUACUGCAAGGAACAAACCAUGAUGCUGUUUCUGGUUGGUUAUUGUUGGCAUCGUAUUUUUACGUUAACAAACAGUAUAACAAAUGCAUAUGUGUAAUAAAAACAUGUUUCUCUAAGUGCACAGUUGAAAAAAUUCGUGUGCCAUCUAUCACCGACAUCACUUCGGAAAGUAAAUUUCAAAAUCACAUGAACUGCUACAAAAAGAGUAGAUUCCUGACGACCAGUAAGGAAUGUACCAUAUGGUCCCCUAUAUUUCAGAACGAAUCGUGUCUUUUACCUACAGAGCUAAAACCUUGGAUCUAUGAACAUCCGACUAUUAUUUUUCCAACUGUAUCCUUUGUCCAUUACCUACAUUUUCUCUGUUUACAUCAUCUUAAUGACUUCACAGGAAAACACAAGGCUUUUCUUGAACUCGAAGCAAGAGUAUCAGAAUACCUUACUGAUUAUCCAAACAGUAAAUGUUCUCAAUCAACAAAUGUGGAAAUUCUUUUUCGCAAAGCCAAAACAAUUAAUAAGCUGCAAAAGAUGUAAUGACUUAUCAAUACUUUAUUUUGCUUUAGUAUAAACUGCUGUGAACAUUUCUUACAUGUGUUUUUCUGUUAGUAACUUGUAUGUUAUGUCUGUUGAAUUUUUUUCUAGAUAAAUGUAUGUUUUAAUUUGUAAAAAUGAAUGAAUUCUACGAUAUAAAAUAAUAAUCAGUUUGUAUAAGACGUUAACAGGUUGAACUGACAGCGUCACGAGAAAAGCUGGAUAUUCAUGGACGAAUGCAAUACUAGUUUACAAUUGUUGGGAAAGUUUUUACAAUAAACAAAGUCGAUCGUAAGUUGGAAUUCCAUCUUGCAUCUGGAAACAUUUAGUGGUAUUAAUCAGAGAUGAGAAGACGUGGUAUGCGUGCCAAUGAGACAACUCUUCAUCCACGUGACAAUGUGCAAAAAGUAAACACAUAGGUAAAAGAAUUGCGUUCAAAACACAGAACAGCAAGCUAUAACACGUGUAACUACCACCUGAUUUUCAGAGCCUGCAAUCAAAACAAUAUUAAACGAAGCUGUAACGCAACCAAAAAAUAGUGAGUGUUACCAUAAACAAAAACAAUUCUUUGAACCUUAAACAAGGCUCUCGAUUGGGCAUUUUGUCGAUAACCACACAUCUGUGCUAUAUACUUGCAUGUAACGUUGUAGGUAUGACCUUAUAUGUUAUGUUCCUAAUUUUAGAUCUUUGCAAAUAAACUCAUCAUAGAUACCAGGAUUAAAUUUUGUAUUUACGUCAGACGUGCGUUUCGUCUACAAAAGACUCAUCAGUGACGCUCGAUUUAAAAAAAGUUAAAAAGGCCAAAUAAAGUACGAAGUUGAAGAGCAUUGAGGACAAAUAUUCCUAAAAGUUUUGCCAACUUCAGCUAAGGUAAUCUAUUCCUGAGGUAGAAAAGCCGUACUUAUCAUUGUAAAUAUAACGGCAUUUGAUAAGACUGUCAUCAAAGGGAGAGGUUUAUCGCUAUAAAACCAGGUUUAAUCCACCAUUUUCUACAUUUGAAAAUGCCUGUACCAAUCAGGAAUAUGACAGUUUUGUCCAUUCGUUUUUUAUGUGUUUUGUCAUUUGAUUUUGCCAUGUGAUAAUGGACUUUCCGAUUAGAUUUUCCUAUGAGUUCAGUAUUUUUGUGAUUUUACUUUUUAGUAUUUCAAAAAUUCAUAGGUUUUGUAAACAGUUAAUUUAUAAAUAUGACCAUAUCAUGGUCAUGUCAGCACAGAAGUGCUGACUACUGGGAUGGUGAUACCAUCGGGGAAUUAAAAUCCCAACAGCAGUGACAUCGACCCAGUGGUUGUAAAUAAACUCAUCAUAGAUAUCAUGAUUAAAUACAGAUAUGUAUAUAUAUAUAUAUAUAUAUAUCAGAGCCCAGGUGGUCGUGUGGUCUAGCGGGACGGCUGCAGUGCAGGCGAUUUGGUGUCACGAUAUCACAGUAGCAUGGGUUCGAAUCCCGGCGGAAGAACCAAAAAUUGCGAAAGCAAAUUUACAGAUCUAACAUUGUUGGGUUGAUGUUUAGACGAGUUGUAUAUACAUUAUGUACACAGCCAUGUAUCACCAUCAUUGAUGGGGAUCCGAUGGAUACAUCUGUUGUAGGGUUGUCACUGACUCAGACGUACUUAUAUAUAUAUAUAUAUAUAUAUAUCUGUUUGUUCGUGACGAACCUAGCAAUUACAUGAUGUCGAAAACUAUUUCAUCAUGUUAUUGCCCUUAUAGGGUUUUAAUUGGGACAUCAGUCGGUUUUAUCCAAUUUAAAAUUGAGAAUGGAAAUUUGGAAUGUGUUAAAGAGACAACAACCCGACCAAAGAGCAGAAAACUUCCGAAGACCACUAAUUUGGCUUUUGAAACGUUUAAAACGUUGUAUAAUUUGGCUUUCAAAACUUUUUUCCUCAAACCUCAACCCUACUGGAGGUUUUUGCAAAAACACUUAGCUUAGCGAUUGACUGUUAUCGUCCCGACUUUGAAAAUGUACUAAAACAUAUACCCUCAUGUACAUCGGUUAAAGUUAUUUGGUUUCCAAUUAAAUCUGAAUCUGUCGUAUGCUAUUUUAUGUUUAUAUAUACAAUCCUUUGCUAAAAAUUUUGUUAUUGAAAUUAUUGUAGUUAAUGUAAUGAGGAAGUUUAAUUGUUAAAACUAUUUGUGUAACUGUAAGACAAGAAAUAUAUAAAGAUACAUUGAAAUACGUGCGAAUUGAAACUACAUAUCAGUUCCAAGCAACUACGAAUCAUAAACUGGGUUACAAUUCUUUAUUAAACAGAAGGGACACAUGGUAAGCCGACUAACAAAAGCUAUUCUUACGAUGCUUGUACGAUCAAUUAUCGUAGGUCAGUUGUGUAAGUGGUGUUGGUGUUAACUUCGAAGAAGAUAAAGCUCAAAUCCAGGUUUGAAACAUUUCACAAAAGCAGUAGGGUUGAUAAUUCACACAGACAGAUACCUUAAUUUUGAGUUAUUCGAGCAUUCCUUUCAUGUACAUACGAAAAGGUGGUAUGAUUAUAUAUGAGACAACUCUCCAUCAGAAAUCAAAUGACAUAGAAAUUUAAAACAACCUUAUGUCACUGUACAGUCUUCAGCAACGAUACAAACGUACUUCAAAGGCACCGAACAGAUUAAACCAGAACAAAAUCUAACGACCUAAAUUAUGUGAAAAACAAUGAACAAAAACAAAUAUGAUAUUCAGUUGACAAGCACCUGAAUAACAAUCAGGCUCCUUAUAACUUGGGACAGACACAUACAUAAGUGUAGGGGUUAAACUAGUUUGCUGGCGCCAAACCCUCUAAUCUUGGACAGUUGUGUAACAGUACAAGAUAAUAACUAAAAAGAACAGUUGAAAAGGGUUGAAUAAUCAGAUCGAUAUACAGCUGAAAACAAACAAAAACACACACUAGACAUGAGAGUAUUUAUACAUCAUCUGGCAGCUAGUUCAAAGCCAAUAACAACUAAUAAAAAACUGUGCAUAUAAGAUACCGUUAUUUUCGCGGGUGUAAAAUUUCGCGGCGAUUUUCAUUGAAUAAGGUAAACGAAAUAUUUUGGCGGUUAAUAUUUUGAUGGAUUCAAAACUUAUAUCAAUUCCUUUGCAUGUAAUUUUUUAAAUUGGAGGAAUUUAUUUUGGCGAUUUUGUUCUAUUCGCGAAAAUAAGCGAAAAUUUACACCCUGCGGAAAUAACCCGCUAUACGGUAUAUCAAUCAGUACACAUCAAACUUCCAAUGAAUUGAGUGUAAAGAAAGCAUUUACAGUCAUAGAAAAACAUGAAGUUGCGCAACGCCUAGAUACAUGUAUCGACAUAUUGUAGAGCUAUGAAUGUGCAUAUGGGUAUACCAAUAAUAUUUAAUUUAGAUUUAAUUUACAGAUAGAAAAACCAAUAUCUAUACGUAUAAAAUAAUAUUAAAAUAUCUAGAUACAGCGUUUACAUUAACCUAUUCAAAUUGCACAUACCGGUUUCAAAACCACAGCUGAAAAGCUAGCAAAUACGAAGCCAUAGAUAUAUAAACAAUAUAUAGGAUACAGUAAUAUAAAUCACAUUUAGGAAUAAUGUUGCAAUACAUUUCGAUGAUUGUAUAAUUCCUUGUUGAUGCCUAACAAGAUGUCCUAAAACUUCACAGAAUAUUUUUUAAAAUGAUAUCUUUUUUUCUGUAGACACACAUUUUUCUCUCUCGAAAAAUUAGUAAAACUGGUAGUAACACAUCAUGUUAUUUUCAUACCUUUCCUGCUGUUCACGAUUUCAUCUCAAUUAUGAUUCAUUGUUCCAUGAAGUCUAAAUUAUAAUAAUGUCCUUUAAUUCUGGAUUUUAAUUUUGUUAUGCUGUAAGGUUUAUUCUUUGGAGGUGUAGGAGAUAAAUUUUAUUUUCCAUCAAAUAUGCUCACAAGGUGUACCAUGCAAUAUAGUUCUUAUAUGAAUUUGCAUAUCCGAUGACACUUACUUUGAGACCCAUCAAGAAAAAAGAUCACACUGUCUGAAUUCGCAUUUUUAAGAAAUACAGCAAGAAGUUAUAUGUUGAAUAUUGUGACGUUAUAAAAGUCCAGCUGCUGUGUUUGCUGGCAAAGUCAAUCUGGUUGCCUACUCUUUAUGUACGACGUGUCAACUGUACUUGACAGUUAAAAGUAACUAAAGAUGUUUUGUUUGAAAAUUAUAAAGAUUUAACACAUUUUUUAAUGCUUUCUAAUGUGUAAACUCGGCUGCAGACUGACAAACUAAAUAUAAAAGCCUUCGUCGAUCUUUCUUUUGUUCAGACUGUGUAUUCAACUUGAAAAUUGUAAGAUGAGUGUAAAUAAAAAUGAGUCUAUUAGGGUUUCUAACUUAAUAUAGUCGUCAACCUUGAGAUUUCGCUUUUGCACGGCUAAGAGGUGUUAAGCUAAUAUGUAUUUUUGUUUAAAUGCUCUCUAUAACAUUGUAUAACAAAAUGAUUAUUCCGUACGACCUUACGGCUUGGUAAAUCGUUCAUCGUGUUCAAAAGAGAGAAUACACAAGACCAUAUUAGUCUGCUUCAACACUCAGCAGACCCAUUUAACAAUAGGCUUAUAUAAAAAGAUUCCAACGUUUAUAAUAGUUUUAUAUCGUUUACUUUUUUUCUGAAUGAUAUUCUAUCCGUUAAGUGAUGUCAGUGGUUGGGUCAACAUUAAGACCUCGAAUUUUGGGGUAAUAUUUGAAAAAAAGAAAUUCCUCAAAUUAAUUUAUUGCUUUAUCAUAAAGAUGUGCUUGUAUUACAGGUUUUCAUGAAACUGAACAUUUACAAAAAGUGUUACAAAUAGUUGUUAUUAACUAGUUCGUGUUGACGUUUGUUAUUGUUACACCUCGAUGUUCCUGUCGUUCCUUUUUUCCUCUUAUAGUUUAUGUGUUUUACUCGGUUUUGAUUUGUAACCCGGAUUUUUUUUCUCAAUCGAAAUAUGACUUUUUAACACCGGUAUACAUCUGUUGCCUUUCUUUACAUCUUAAUAAACAUUCGCAGAUUGUCAAUGUAUUUGAAUUUACCAAAUAAUGCACAAAGAUUAAAAGAAAUUAUAAAACAAAUCUUUAUUUGUUCAGUAUCUAUAUCCAACAAAUAAUCUGUCAAACUAAUUAAAAAUUUUCUUCCUGUAUGAUCAUGUGAUAAUGAGUGGUUUUAUGUCCCAUUGUUCCUUAGGUGCUUCACUUUUGUUAAACCAGAAUAUUAUUCGUACGACCUUACGGUUGGUAAUCGUUCAUCGUGUUCGAAAGAGGAAAUACACACAAGACCAUACUUAGUCUGCUUAACACUCAGCAGACCAUUUAACAUAGGCUUAUAAAAAGAUUCAACGUUUAUAUAGUUUUAUAUCGUUUACUUUUUCUGAAUGAUAUUCUAUCCGUUAAGUGAUGUCAGUGUUGGUAACAUUAGACCUCAAUUUGGGGUAAUAUUGAAAAAAAAAUUCCCAAAUUAUUUUGCUUUAUCAUAAAGAUGUGCUUGUAUACAGGUUUCAUGAAAACUGAACAUUUACAAAAAGUGUUACAAAUAGUUGUUAUUACUAGUUCGUGUUGACGUUUGUUAUUGUUCACUCGAUGUCCUGUGUCCUUUUUUCCUCUAUAGUUAUGUGUUUAUCGUUUUGAUUUGUAACCCGGAUUUUUUUUCUCAAUCGAAAUAUGACUUUUUAACACCGGUAUACAUCUGUUGCCUUUCUUUACAUCUUAAUAAACAUUCGGACAGAUUGUCAAUGUAUUUGAAUUUACCAAAUUAUUGCACAAAGAUUAAAAGAAAUUAUAAAACAAAUCUUUAUUUGUUCAGUAUCUAUAUCCAACAAAUAAUCUGUCAAACUAAUUAAAAAUUUUCUUCCUGUAUGAUCAUGUGAUAAUGAGUGAGUUAUUUAUGUCCCAUUGUUCCUUAGGUGCUUCACUUAUUGUUAAACCAGAACCUGCCUAGCAUGAACUCGAAAUGGAGCAAACAUGAGUGGCUUGACAGGAAAAGCGAACCCUUAUUUUGUAUUCUAGUAUAUAAUGUGCCAUGCGAAUAUGAAUUUAUACAAAAAUUCAAAAUGAGAAAUAGGACAGAGUAAAAAAUUACAUAUUAAACGACUAUUAAGGUACAUAAUUAUCCAAGAACGCGAAAUCAUGACCUUUUUGAGUUGAGGCAAAACUACUUCGUUUUGAUCUAUAUAAGUGUCACCAACCCAGUAGUCAGUACUUCUGUGCUGACAUGAAUUAUCAUUGAUAUGGUAAUAUUUAUAAAUUAACUGUUUACAAAACUUUUGAAUAUUUGAAAUACUAAGGCUUUUCUACCUCAGGAAAGAGAUUACCUUAGCUGUACAUGCUGUAUUUUGCAAACCUUUAGGAAUUUUGAUCCUCAAUGCUCUUCAACUUUGUACUUUAUUUGGUCUUUUUAACUAUUUUGAAUUCGAGCGUCACUGAUGAGUGUUUUGUAGACGAAACGUGCGUCUGGCGUAUACACAAAAUUCAAUCCUGGUAUAUAUGAUGAGUUUAAUUAGUAGUUGUGAUCGUUAUUUUGGACAAUAGUAGUCUACCGAUUACCAAAUCGUGUAAAUAUUGUAAAUCGAUUAAGGCGAGACAAAUAGAGGUAAUAGACAUAACUGAUGGAAUCGCACGAACCCCGGAAGCAGCGAGACAGAACAAUCGUCCUUUGCUAUACAUGGUUCACCAGAAAUGCAAAUUCAAGCAAUAUGUCAUAUUCAGUAAAAUAACAGAUUAUAUAUUUUUAUUACUGAUUGCUAAAUAUCUUGAAUUCCUNNNNNNNNNNNNNNNNNNNNNNNNNNNNNNNNNNNNNNNNNNNNNNNNNNNNNNNNNNNNNNNNNNNNNNNNNNNNNNNNNNNNNNNNNNNNNNNNNNNNNNNNNNNNNNNNNNNNNNNNNNNNNNNNNNNNNNNNNNNNNNNNNNNNNNNNNNNNNNNNNNNNNNNNNNNNNNNNNNNNNNNNNNNNNNNNNNNNNNNNNNNNNNNNNNNNNNNNNNNNNNNNNNNNNNNNNNNNNNNNNNNNNNNNNNNNNNNNNNNNNNNNNNNNNNNNNNNNNNNNNNNNNNNNNNNNNNNNNNNNNNNNNNNNNNNNNNNNNNNNNNNNNNNNNNNNNNNNNNNNNNNNNNNNNNNNNNNNNNNNNNNNNNNNNNNNNNNNNNNNNNNNNNNNNNNNNNNNNNNNNNNNNNNNNNNNNNNNNNNNNNNNNNNNNNNNNNNNNNNNNNNNNNNNNNNNNNNNNNNNNNNNNNNNNNNNNNNNNNNNNNNNNNNNNNNNNNNNNNNNNNNNNNNNNNNNNNNNNNNNNNNNNNNNNNNNNNNNNNNNNNNNNNNNNNNNNNNNNNNNNNNNNNNNNNNNNNNNNNNNNNNNNNNNNNNNNNNNNNNNNNNNNNNNNNNNNNNNNNNNNNNNNNNNNNNNNNNNNNNNNNNNNNNNNNNNNNNNNNNNNNNNNNNNNNNNNNNNNNNNNNNNNNNNNNNNNNNNNNNNNNNNNNNNNNNNNNNNNNNNNNNNNNNNNNNNNNNNNNNNNNNNNNNNNNNNNNNNNNNNNNNNNNNNNNNNNNNNNNNNNNNNNNNNNNNNNNNNNNNNNNNNNNNNNNNNNNNNNNNNNNNNNNNNNNNNNNNNNNNNNNNNNNNNNNNNNNNNNNNNNNNNNNNNNNNNNNNNNNNNNNNNNNNNNNNNNNNNNNNNNNNNNNNNNNNNNNNNNNNNNNNNNNNNNNNNNNNNNNNNNNNNNNNNNNNNNNNNNNNNNNNNNNNNNNNNNNNNNNNNNNNNNNNNNNNNNNNNNNNNAUACUAAGAAAAAUAAGUUUACUUCCGGUUUACUGUUUUGGAAUACAUUACAAGGAAAUUAAUCGAAGAACCAGUUUAAAAUCUUUUCACAAAAUGGUGUCUUGUCAAAAUCAAAACAUUCAAAGUGGGUCUCAUUGGGGUCUAAGCGUGACGCGGGAUUGCCGAUUUUUUGUAAGCGUGACACGUGAAAGUCAAAACGGGAAAUGAGGUCUUGCAGGACCCGGGAAAUGACAAAAAAAUGAGAAUUGCUUACGUACAUAGUGUAAGCGGGAUACGGGAAUCUGACAAAACAGUAAGCGGGAUCCGGGAUCGGAACCCCCAAUGAGACCCCCUUCAAAGAAUUUAGUGUUUCCAUCAUUUUUCUUUAUUAAACAGAGUAAAACGAUAACGAUCUAUAAUAAAGCAGGUGAAAUUGACAAUCGGGGGUACUGAGAAAUGCUUGCUUGCAAACUUUUUGUUUAAAAAAUUUACAAGUUUACAUUUUUAAAAGAUUUAGUUUUCAUAUGAUUAGAUCUUUUAAUCGUUCAAUCCGGAUUGAGGAGAAUUAUGAUAUCGAAAUAAAUAUCAUCAAGUGAAAAUAAUAAAGAGAAACACACCCAAGCCAAUUCUCGAUUUUAUACAUCGACCUUCCCUACGGAAACGAAAUAAAUUCUGGAAAAAAAAAGCGUACGGUAAAAAUGUUGAUUUUUUAACCCUCUCCCCCCAAGUGUACGUUUUGUACACUUUGGAAAAUGGUUGACAAUUAUGGAUGACCCCUUACUCGUGGGCUUUUUUUUUUGGCUUUAAAACGUGAAGACAAUCAGAUAGGAUGACAAUCUUAUGUUAUGGAAUAAUUAUAAUAUCAGUCAAAUUAAAGAAUGUGUAGUAGAUUAUAUUGUUCAGAAUCUGGAAAACAGUAUCUUUUGAAGUUCAUUUUUAGCUCACCUGGCCCUAGUGAGCUUUUCUCAUCACUUGGCGUCUGUCGUCGUUAACUUUUACAAAAAUCUUCUCCUCUGAAAGUACUGGGCCAAAUUUAACUAAACGUGGCCAAAAUCAUCAUUGGGGUAUCUUGUUUAAAAAUUGUGUCCGGUGAUCCGCCAAAUCAACCCAGAUGGCCGCCAUGGCUAAAAAUAGAACAUGGGGGGAAAAAUGUAUAUUUUGGCUUAUAACUCUGAAACCAAAGCAUUUAGAGCAAAUCUGACAGGGGGACAAAUUGUUUAUAAAGUCAAGAUCUAUCAGCCUUGAAAUUUUCAGAUGAAUCUGACAAUUGAUUGUUGGGUUGCUGCCCAUGAAUUGGUAAUUUGUAGGAAAUUUUGUCCGUUUUCGGUUAUUAUCUUGAAAAUUAUUAUAGAUAGAGAUAAACUGUAAACAGCAAUAAUGUUCAUCAAAGUAAGAUCUACAAAUAAGUCAACAUAAUCAAAAUGGUCAGUUGACCCCUAAAGGAGUUAUUGCCCUUAAUAGUCAUUUUUUUUACCAAUUUUUGUAAUCUUUUACAAAAAUCUUCUCCUGAAACUUUUUAACCAAAUUUAACCAAACUUAGCCACAAUCAUUAUUAGGGUAUCUAGUUUAAAAAAUUUGUGCAGUUACCCGGACAACCAACCAAGAUGGCCACCAUGGCUAAAAAUAGAACAUAGGGGUAAAAUGUAGAUUUUGGCUUAUAACUCUGACACCAAAGCAUUUAAAGCAAAUCUUACAAGGGAUUAACUUGUUUAUCUAGUAAAUAUCUAUCUGCCCUGAAAUUUUCAGAUGAAUUGGACAACUGGUUGUGGGUUUGCUGCCCCCCAAUUGGUAAUUUUUAAAGAAAUUUAGUCAUUUUUAGCUCACCUGGCCCGAAGGGCCAAGUGAGCUUUUCCCAUCACUUUGCGUCCGGCGUCGUCGUCGUCGUCGUCCGUCGUCUGUCGUCCGUCGUCCGUCGUCGUUAACUUUUACAAAAAUCUUCUCCUCUGAAACUACUGGGCCAAAUUGAACCAAACUUGGCCACAAUUAUCUUUGGGGUAUCUAGUUUAAAAAAUAUGUGGCGUGACCCGGUCAACCAACCAAGAUGGCCGCCACGGCUAAAAAUAGAACAUAGGGGUAAAAUGCAGUUUUUGGCUUAUAACUCAAAAACCAAAGCAUUUAGAGGAAAUCUGAUGUGGGGUAAAAAUGUUUAUCAGGUCAAGAUCUAUCUGCCCUGAAAUUUUCAGAUGAAUCGGUCAACCUGUUGUUGGGUUGCUGCCCCUGAAUUGGUAAUUUUGAGGAAAUUUUUGCCGUUUUUGGUUAUUAUCUUGAAUAUUAUUAUAGAUAGAGAUAAACUGUAAACAGGAAUAAUGUUCAGCAAAGUUAGAUUUACAAAUAAGUCAACAUGACCGAAAUGGUCAGUUGACCCCUUAAGGAGUUAUUGCCCUUUAUAGUCAAUUUUUAACCAUUUUUCAUAAAUCUAAGUAAUCUUUUACAAAAAUCUUCUCCUCUGAAACUAAUGGGCCAAAUUAAUCCAAAGUUGGCCACAAUCAUCUUUGGGGUAUCUAGUUUAAAAAAUGUGUGGCGUGACCUGGUCAACCAACCAAGAUGGCCGCCACGGCUAAAAAUAGAACAUAGGGGUAAAAUGCAGUUUUUGGCUUAUAACUCAAACCACCAAAACAUUUAGAGGAAAUCUGACAGGAGUAAAAAUGUUUGUCGGGUCAAGAUCUAUCUGCCUGAAAUUUUCAGAUGAAUCGGUCAACCUGUUGUUGGGUUGCUGCCCCUGAAUUGGUAAUUUUGAGGAAAUUUUGCUGUUUUUGGUUAUUAUCUUGAAUAUUAUUAUAGAUAGAGAUAAACUGUAAACAGCAAUAAUGUUCAUCAAAGUAAGAUUAACAAAUAAGUCAACAUGACGGAAAUGGUCAGUUGACCCCUUUAGGAGUUAUUGCCCUUUAUAGUCAAUUUUUAACCAUUUUUCGUAAAUCUUAGUUAUCUUUUACAAAAAUCUUCUCCUCUGAAACUACUGGGCCAAAUUAAUUCAAACCUGGCCACAAUCAUCUUUGAGAUACCUUGUUUGAAAAAUGUGUCCGAUGACCUGGCCAUCCAACCAAGAUGGCCACCACGGCUAAAAAUAGAACAGGGGUAAAAUGUAGUUUUUUGCUUAUAACUCUGAAACCCAAAUCAUUUAGAGGAAAUCUGACAAGGAGUUAAAUUGUUAAUCAAGUCAAUAUAUAUCUGCCCUGAAAUAUUCAAAUGAAUAGGACAACCGGUUAUUGGGUUGCUGCCCUCCAAUUGGUAAUUUUUAAAGAAAUUUUGCUGUUUUUGGUUAUUAUCUUGAAUACUAUUAUAGAUAGCGAUAAAACUGUAAACAGCGAUAAUGUUUCAUCAAAGUAAGAUCUACAAAUAAGUCCACAUGACCUAAAAUGGUCAAUUGACCCCUUAAGGAGUUAUUGCCCUCUAUAUAGUCAAUUUUUAACAAUUUUCAUUAAUUUGGUAAAUUUAUGUAAAUUUUUACCAAAUAUUUUUCUCUGUUACUAAUGGGCAAAGUUCAUUAUAGAUAUAAUUGUAAGAAGCAAGAAUGUUCAGUAAAGUAAGAACUUCAAACACAUCACCAUCACCAAAAUACAAUUUUGUCAUGAAUCCAUUUGUGUUCUUUGUUUAAUAUGCACAUAGACCAAGGUGAGCGACACAGGCUCUUUAGAGCCUCUAGUUGAUUAUUAUCUUGAAUACUAUUAUAGAUAGAGAUAAACUGUAAACAGCAAAAAUGUUAAGCAAAUUAAGAUCUACAAAUAAGUCAAACAUGACCAAAAUGGUCAGUUGACGCCUUAAGGAGUAAUUGCUCUUUAUAGUUUUUUAAUAUAAUUUAAUUUUUAACAGUUUUCAUUAAUUUGGUAAAUUUUGGUAAGUUUUUACAAAAUGUUUUCCUCUGUAACUAAAGGGCCAAGUUCAUUACAGAUAGAAGAAAUUGUAAGUAGCAGAAUGAUCAGUUAAGUAUGAUCUACAAACACAUCACCAUCACCAAAACACAAUUUUGUCAUGAAUCCAUAUGUUUCCUUUGUUUAAUAUGCACAUAGACCAAGGUGAGCAACACAGGCUCUUAAGAGCCUCUAGUUCAAAGCCCACGUGGUGUUCGGAGAAUCAAGGUCAAAAACAAAAGUAGAGUAUUAUCGACUCGACCUCAAAUAAAUAACAUUUCCAAAUGAUUUAUGUAUACUUAUUGAACAGUUUACAAAAAAAAAAAGAGAAAAUCAGAGGAUAUAUCAAUUUUCUGUCAAUGCUUGAGAAAUAAUUGUAUGAUUUAAAUAGGCGUAACAGUCUUUAGAGAGAAAAGGGGGGUCAUUUGUUUACAAAUGCACGUAGUUAUGCAAAAUAAAUCGAUCAAGAUUUCUAACAAACAGGAUUAUUACAUAAAUAAAACUCCUUUAAAAGUAAAUGAAUUUUAAGCAUAAGGUAAUAAAAAUAAAAAAACUAUAACAUAAAAAAAAAUGGUCAUUUGAAAGAUGGAAUUAUGUGCCAGGAGAUUGCGAGAAUGCAGGAUUUUGCUCUAUUUAUGCCAGAGCUUCUGGGGGACCUUGAGCGGCCUAGACCCCCCUGCCGUAAAGCACCAAGCUGUAAUUACAAUUACAGCUUGGAGGGCUUUCGGCGCGGAAUGCAUGUUACAGCCACCUAUAAUUGUAAUUAAGCCUACGACUUCAAUUUCAAGGGAAAGCCCUGACUAUUGAUGUAUUGACAUCAUACAACAAUCACUUUUCUAUUGUCAUGAUUGUGGUGUCAGAUACAUUUUGCAUUUCCUUUUAUGACAUCAAAAUUUAAUGGGAACUUUUGACAUGUCCUGGAAAAGGUGGACUAAUAGCGAUACAGUGGAUUGUUAUGUCAAUGAAGUGUUAUGUUUGACGGGAAUUGUAAUAUAUUAUGUCCCAUAUACAUGUAUAAACAUGCAAGAUAUUAACAUUCAACUUGUAAACUCUUUUUUCUAAAUUUUAUGAUACAAUCAUGACAAUGUUGCAUGCAGCAUGUACCUAUUGCAUACAUAUAGUUUCAAAAACAAUUGUUUUUUGACAAUUUGAUAACAUAAAAGGGACCGGACAUUUUGAAAUUUAGUUAUGCAUGAUAAACAGCCCAAGUGGAUUUUGCUUUUUCCACCUGCCCACCAUGGGCAGCCCACCCGUGCCCACUCUAGCUAUAAUCUCUUUUUUUGUAAAAAUAUUGAUUACAAAUGCUUAUCUGCUUUUUUCAAGUGAUUGUACUUGCAAGUCUUUACAUUAAACAAAAGAAGUUGCAUGCCCACUCCUAUGGGUGGGCAGAGUGGACAAGGUAGAAAUUUUGUCCACCCGGUGCCCACUCCCAUGGUGGGCCGGUGGACAAAGCAAAAUCCACCCGAGCUGUAGCUGUAUAUAAGAAAUACAACCAUGAUUUUGAAAAGUAGUCUGGGUCCCUUGACCCAAAAUCACAUCUGCUGCCAUUCUCUUUCUCCCCCUUUCACAUUCACACCACACAGGUAGGCACCCUUUUAAAGUUGUUGUGUUGAAUAAGUUUUUAAUCAUGCUUUAGUUUUUUGUUAAGCUUGCCUGCAACUUUAAAUUUGUUGCAGAAAACUCGACAUAGGGAUAGUGAUCCAGCGGCGGCGUUAGCUAACUUCUUAAAAGCUUUAUAUUUUAGAAGGUGAAAGACCUGGAUGCUUCAUACUUUGUAUAUAUAUGCCUCAUGUUACGAAGUUUCCGUCAGUAACAUGUCCAAUGUCCUUGACCUCAUUUUCAUGGUUCAGUGACCACUCGAAAAAAAAGUUCAGAUUUUUUGUGAUGUUGAAUUCUCUCUUAUUAUAAGUAAUAGGAUAACUACAUUUGAUAUGUGCGUACCUUGCAAGGUCCUCAUGUCUGUCAGACUGUUUUCACUUGACCUCGACCUCAUUUCAUGGAUCAGUGAACAAGGUUAAGUUUUGGUGGUCAAGUCCAUAUCUCAGAUACUAUAAGCAAUAGGUCUAGUAUAUUAGGUGUAUGGGAGGACUGUAAGGUGUACAUGUCCGACUGGCAGACGCAUCUGACCUUGACCUCAUUUUCAUGGUUCAGUGGUUAUAGUUAAAUUUUUGUGUUUUGGUCUGUUUUUCUCAUACUAAAUGCAAUAGGUCGUCUAUAUUUGUUGUAUGAAAUGAUUGUAAGGUGUACAUGUCUAGUGGGCAGAUGUUUUGUGACCUUGACCUCAUUUUCAUGGUUCAGUGGUCAAAGGUAAGUUUUUGAGUUUGGUCUUUUUAUAUUUGGUGUAUGGAUAUAUUUUAUGAUCUUUAUGUCAGUUGCGCAGGUUUUAUUUGACCUUGACCUCAUUUUCACGGUUCAUUGCACAGUAUUAGGUUUUUGUGUUUUGGUCUAUUUUCUUAAACUAUAAGUAAUAGGUCAACUAUAUAUGUUGUAUAGAAGCAGUGUUAGCUGUACAUGUCGGCCUGGCAUGGUUCAUCUGACCUUGACCUCAUUUUCAAGGUUUAUUUGCAUUUGUGUCGUUGUUCUCCUCUUAUAUUUAAUGCGUUUCCCUCGGUUUUAGUUUGUUACCCCGAUUUUGUUUUUUGUCCAUGGAUUUAUGAGUUUUGAACAGCAGUAUACUACUGUUGCCUUUAUUUAUUGGUCUUUGUUUAGUUAUCUUGGUUAAUGUUAAGUUUAUGAGACAGUUGUAAUAAAGCUUUAUACUUAGGACUAUCAACAUAAUAUCAAUGAUUAGUAUACAUGGUAUAGAAGGUGAGACAUUUCAGCCUGUGCACUCUUGUUUUAUAAAAUAAAGAAAAUACCUUUUUUUUUUAUUGAUUUGAAAUAAGAUAAAGUGCACUGCGUACAUGUAUGUGACAUUCUUAAAACCUAAACAUAUUUUCUUUUGUGAAUUAUUUUGACAAAAUGGAUAAAAAUUAUUCUCAUGAUGAUCAAAGACUCAGUCAUUCGUCUCCAAGACUUUUAAGAGAAAGGCAGAAGAUUUAAAACGGCUAUCAAAAUUGUCACAAACUAUUAAAGAUUUUUUGUUCUAAAAAAUCAUCAAAAAUUUCAUUCAAGAAAAUGCAAAUAUUUUGAUAUAUGCAUCUAAAAAUCAUCUGCUAUUUCAACCGGCAUUUAAAUAAAAAAUUAUAAUUAAGAUAAGAAACAAACAGAUCUGAGGGGCAAAUGUGUGGGGUGUGAAACAGUGAUACAUUUGUACAUGUUGAUGCAGGUGCCACUUAAAUUUACAACUACAAUGAACUAGACAACAUGAAUUCCUAUAAUAUUUAAAAUUGGUAUAGAUAUAAUGACACAUUGGUAUGAUUGUUUUACUAAAUGUCCUACAGUCCUACAUUUAUUGUAUCAUAUAUGAUGAUUUUUUCUGUACCUGUAGUAAAACCAUUAUCUUCAAGACUUUCAGUUAAAAUUCAAAGGUGUUCAGUUCUAUUUCUGUGCAUUCUUAAUACUUUCAUGAUCGGUGAUUUUUUUGUUAUUUAUCUAUACAUGCUAUAAAUUUUGUAUAUAGUCUAAUUUUAUUAUUCUUUUAAUUAGGAGGCUAUGCGACAGCAGGAGGAGGAGCUGCCCCACCCCCACCACCACCCCAGGGAUCUGGAAAUUAUUCACAAUAUCAGCAACCAGCUAGUGGAUAUUCAACUGACAACUAUUCAUCAUCAGGUAUGAACAUAGCCAUGGAGUUUAGAGAUUAUCAUUUUCAUUUUGAUUAGAGAGUUUCAUUUUCAUUUUGUUUAGAAAAAAUCAUUUUCAUUUUGUUUAGAAAAAAAUCAUUUUCAUUUUGUUUAGAAAAAAUAAUUUUCAUUUUGUUUAGAGAAUAUUAUUUUCAUUUUGUUUAGAGAAUAUCAUUUUCAUUUCAUCAUUGUUCAUUUUGAAAAUACCAUUUUCAUUUUGUUUAGGUUGUGAAUUAACUUUCUUUAUCAUGUUUAUAAUGGUUUUUGAAAACCACCUGCUAAAAUAACAUUCAAAUAACAACUCAAAACAAAAUACGCAUCUUAAUUUCAUGGAUUGAUUUUUUUGGGAUCACAUUUUAUAUCUGCAUUGUACCAUGUGAUGUCUUCAGGAGCUACAUCUUUGUAAUACAUUUUGUAAACUAUGUUUUGCAUAAUUUAUGAAUAUAUACGAUUUAAUUUUACAUUUGAUAUACAUUUACUCUACCAUUUUACCCUGUCUCUAAAUAGAUAUAAUGUUGUAUUAAGGUGGUACCUAACACUACAGGGAGAUAACUCUUUAAAAUCAGCUAAACGUUUUAAUUACGUUGUGUUGUAAAGGGAAUAUUAAGCAUCCCAAUGAUCAAAAUUAGUGUUUGUCAAACUGCUAUGUAACCAGUGUAAUUUUUAAACGAGCCAAAUUAAUUUUAGUUAAAGUGUUGGGUACCACCUUAAGAGGGAUGGUAUUAACAAUUAAGGCUGGUCCAGAAAAUACAAUGCUAACCUGUGGACAGCAAAUUAUAUUUUUUUCCCAUGGGUAAGUCUUUGACUGAUCUUAUAUAUUUCUACAUUACUACAGAAAAUAAAUGAAUUUGCAGUAGUUAGAUGAUUGGGUUUUUAAAUGGCUGAUUAAUUUAUUUUUUAGGAUACAAUUAUUAUUCAUCUAACCAAUAUCAAGGACAGCAGCAACCACCACAGCCACCAGUGCCACCCACAACAACACAGAGCCCGUCACAAUAUUCCACAUCAGCAACAUCUUACUCAACAUCAUCAUCAGCACCAACAACAACACAGUAUUCAACAGCAGCCACACCAACAGACUCACAGUACUCAACAUCACAAAGUCAACAGUAUUCAACAAGUGGUAGUAACUCACAACCUUACUCUCAGUAUAAUUAUUCUCAAUAUGGUAAUUAUACUCCAGAACAAUAUCAACAGAUGUGGGCUAAUUAUAACCAGUAUCAACAAAGCUCAACUACAGGCUAUCAACAAGCAGGCCAAACUCAAGCAGUAACGACAAGUAGUACUACUCCUACUCAACAAGCACCUGCCCAAGCUUCUGGAUACCAGCAACAAAGUUCUGCUAAUCCACCCUUACCGACAACUCCCACAACCCCUGGUUACCCACCACCCAGCCCAGCAGGUCAGCCGAGUUCAACACCAGCAGCUGUUCCUACAACCAAUGCAAGUACUACACCAACUAGUGGACAACCAUACCAACAAGGCACAGGGUAUCAAGGAUCAAGCUACCCACCAACAAGCUAUCAACAGGGAAGUAACUGGUACCAACAGGGACAAGGUAAUUAUGGGUACCAGUCUAGUUCAGGCUCUAGUUAUCAGCAAAGCACACAGCAAGGAACAAAUCAGCCACCACCACCUCCAGAUAAAACAAAAGAACCAACACCAGAAAAAGCUACUUCAUCUUAUCAAGGAUAUCAACAGGCAGGAAACAGUUACGGCUAUCAACAGUCUGCUCCAGGAUACCAGCAGGCAAAAGGCACUGAAAGCUAUUCACAGGCAGGAAAUUAUCAGUCCCAGAGCAGUAGUGGAUACCAAACUGCUUCAGCUUCAGGUAAUACAGGUUACCAGCAGACACCAGGGGCUUCUGGUUACCAAUCAGCACCACCAGUAGCUACAGGAUACCAGCAGCCACAAGGUUCCUCUGGAUACCAAACAGCUCCAGCCAGUACAGGUUAUCAACAGGCUCCAGCUUCAUCUGGUUACCAAACUGGACCUGCAAGUACUGGAUACCAGCAGCCACCUAGUGGACCUGCAAGUACAGGAUACCAACAGCCUCCUAGUGGACCUGCAAGUACUGGAUACCAGCAGCCACCUAGUGGACCUGCAAGUACAGGAUACCAACAACCUCCUAGUGGACCUGCCGGUACUGGGUACCAGCCACCUCCUCCAGGACCAACUGGUUACCAAACAGGACAAGGAAGCACUGGAUAUCAGCAAAGUCAAGGAAGCUCUGGAUAUCAGCAAGGACAAAGUAACACUGGAUAUCAGCAAAGUCAAGGAGGAACUGGAUACCAACAGCCAGGAGAGGUCAAGGGAAACACAGGAUAUCAGCAAGGCUCUGAUGUCUCUGACUACCAGCAAGGACCUCCUAGUAAACCUCCGUACCAGCAAGGAUCUGGUCCUGGAGGCUAUAAACAGGACCCUACUGACUAUCAGUCCAGUUAUCCAAAAGAUCCUCAAGGAUAUGGCACCCAGCCACCAAUCAGUGAUUACAAGGACAAUAGUUCUGGUUACAGGGGUAGCAGUUCAAGUUACCAGCAGGAUGCCAGAUAUCAACAAGGCAGUAACCCACCUGGAAGUAGCUAUGACUACCAACAGUCAGGUCCUCCUACUGAUUACCAACAAGGACAAAACUGGAACCAAGGCGACACAAAGCCAGGGUCCAGGUGGGGAAGUCAGACUGACACAAAGCUAGCAUCUAGAUGGGGUGAUCAAGGGGAAACAAAGCCAGCGUCAAAAUGGGAUCAAGUUGAUCCAAAGCCAGCGUCUAGAUGGGGGAAUCAAGGUGAUGCAAAGCCAGCAUCAAAAUGGGAUCAAGUUGAACCAAAACCAGCAUCCAGAUGGGGGAAUCAACCACCGGAAUCAAAUUAUGACAAACAUGGCCCAAGUCCAUCAAAUUAUCCUCCAGGAAACCAAGGACCGGCAGUACCACCGAGUGCUCAGAAGCCAGGAUAUGGUGAUUAUCAACCACCACCACCAGCUAGAGCUACAGGCUUCAAACCAGAUAAUUUUCCAUCUGAUGAUAUGUAUGAUGAUGGUCCACCAGAUACAAGUGACAAACCAUUUAUGACAGGCAUGGUCCCUUCACAAUAUUCAAGAGAUGAUGAUAGAUUUGAUCGAAGAGGACGGGGAAGAGAUUUCAGAGGUGGUCGAGGUGGAAGGGGACGUGGUUAUGAUGGACCUGAUGAUCGUGAUAGUUUUGGACACAGAGGUGGUGGUCGUGGUGGACGAGGUGGUAGAGAUCAAGACGAUCGCUUUGAUAGAGGCAGAGGCAUGGGUGGUGACCGUUUUGCAGGACGUGGUGAAAGAAGGGAAUCAGAAGACAGAUUUGAAGGUCGAGGCAGAGGAAGAGACUUUGGCGGAGGAGGACGUGGUCGUGGCGGAUUUGGACAUGAUGAUGUGGUAAAAGGAGAAUUUGAUGAUAAUAGAGGAAGAGGGAAAAGUUUACUUGGUGAGUUUGCAGGUGACAGAGGAAGAGGAAGUGAUUUUGGAGAAAACAGAGGGAGAGGUGGAGACUUUUUUGGUGAUAACAGGGGAAGAGAAGGCGACCUCAUGGGAGAUAACAAAGGCAGAGGUGGAGAUUUUAUGGGAGAUGCUAGAGGUAGGGACUUUGGAGAUAACAGAGGAAGAGGUGGUUUUGGAGGUGACAGAAGAGGUGACCAUAGAGGUGGAUUUGGGGGUGACAGAAGAGGUGGUUUUGAAAAUGACAGACGAGAUGGAUUUGAAAAUGACAGGAGAGGAGGUUUUGGAGGUGACCACAGAGGUGGGUUUGGAGGUGAUAGAAGAGGUGGAUUUGACAAUGACAGAAUGGGUGGAUUUGAAAAUGAUAGGAGAGGUGGAUUUGACCCUGACAGGAGAGGUGGAUUUGGAGGUGACCGAAGAGGUGGAUUUGAAAAUGAUAGGAGAGGUGGAUUUGAAAAUGACAGGAGAGGUGGAUUUGGAGGUGACAGAAGAGGUGGAUUUCAUGGUGGAAGAGGGGGCGGAGGAAUGAAUGAAAGGGAAAGAUCUUGGGACAAUUCUAGGGACAGAGACAGUUCAAGGGACAGAGAACACUCUAGUUCAGUUAGAGCUUCAAGUAGGUCAUUUGGUGGAAGGAAAGACAGUUUUAAUGAGAACGAAAAUAAGAAUAAAAUGGACAUUGGUAAGGAGGACAGACAAGCUAAACGCAAAACAGAGAAUGUGUCUUCUUCUCUUGUUGAAGAUAAAAAGUCCCAACCUCCUGUCAAGAUAGCUAAAGUUGACCCUCUAAAGCCAGAUAAGGAGAAGAAAGAUGUUAAGGAAGAAAAGCUGGAUGACCUGAAGAAAACAGAAGAAGAAUUGAAGAAAAUAGAUGAUGAACCAAUGGAAAGCAAGGGCAAUUAUUCGGAUAUUGAUGAAGCAGAACUGGACAAGAAAAUUGAAGCCAUGAAACAACCAUUGUACUGUAAACUCUGUGAAACAAAAUUAAACAAUGCAACACAAACAAAACAGCAUUACGAGGGCAAACCACACAUGAAGAAAGUUAGAGCAUACAAAAAUCAGGCAGCACUGGAUGCCACAUUGGCAAAAAUAGCAGCAAAGAAAACUGGCGUUCCUACUGAUGAUAAAAAGACUGUUGAAAGUGGAAAAAAGGGGGAUGGAGAUAAGAAAGCUGAUGAAGUCGCUAAAAAAGAUGAGAAAGACGAGAAAAAGGAUGCUGAUACAAAACCAGGGGUAUGUCUUGAAUUCAUUUUGAUAAAAGUAAUAACUCAAGAUUUCAAAGUUUGAUUUGGUAAAUUGUAUGUAAGAAAACAACAGAAUAUGAAUCAUAAGACACAUAGGGUGGAUACAAUUCAGACAGCAACUGUUCAAUAAAAGACAACAAAAAAGAGCAUUGAAUGGUCACAGUAUUGUUCCAGAUGACAUCACUGCAUCAUGCAUGUCUUACAAACAGUUUCAAAGAUUUAAGAAAAUAUCAAAUUAUUUUAAAAAAAAAUGGCAUUUAAUUAUUUUAGUUUGAUUUAAACCUGUAUUGAAUUGAGGCUUGUAACCAUAAUUUCUAUAUUGACUCUCUACUGUAAGCCAAAAAAUCAGCAUAGAUAAUUAAUUAAUUGAAGAUGUCACCUUUAGUGAGCUAAGGAUUUACAUCAGAUAUUACUUAUCCAAUUCUUUUAUAAAAAGUGUUGCCUCACUUGAGGCUGUGGUUGUAAAGAACUGCAAUAAAAUUGAGAAUGGAAAUGUGUCAAAGAGACAACAACCCGACCAUAGAGUAGAAUUGGUCUUCCAUGCAGCUAGAAACUCCCGCACCCGGAGGCAUGGUUCAGCUGGCCCCUAAACAAAAAGGUAUACUAGUUCAGUGAUAAUUGACGUCAUACUAAACUCCAAAUUAUACACAAGAAACUAUAAUUAAAAAUCAUACAAGACUUACAAAGGCCAGAGGCUCCUGACCUGGGACAAGCGCAAAAUUGCAGCAGGGUUAAACAUGUUUUUAGAGAUCUCAACCCUCCUAUACCUCUAGCCAAUGUAGAAAAAACAAACGCACAACAAUACGCAUUGUAUAACUCAGUUUAAGAGAAGGAUGAGUCUGAUGACAGUUUGAUGAUUAAUACUGAAUUUUUUUGUAGGAUAUAGACUUUCCAGAUACUUGUGAUAUAUGUGAGAUGGCAUUCCAGCACCCCUCAAUGGCAGAGGCCCAUUUCAAGGGUAAAAAUCAUAAAAAGAAGAUGUUAAAGUUAGAAGGCAAACAAGAUGUAGGAUUUGAACUUCUUGAGGAAGAUGCACCACAUAUUUCCAAGUAAGAAUAUUAAAAGAAAUGUAGAGACAAUAAAAUGGUAACUUCUGCCAAAUGAAAAUGGUUGUAAUGUCUCGCACUCAAGAAAAUAAUGAAGAACAGAACCCAUACUAUAUACUAAGUAAAGUCAAAAUAAUGUGGACCAUGCAAACUAUAAAAAAGAAGAUGUGGUAUUAUUGUCAAUGAUACAAUUCUUCACAAGAGGCCAAAUAACACAGAAAUAAACAACUAUAGAUCAAUGUACGGCCUUCAACAAUGAGUAAAGGCCAUACCUCAUUGUCAACUUUAAAAGGCCUUAAAUGACAAAUGUAAAAUUUAAAGUCUGGCUGAUGUCUGUCUAGUACAAAGCAGGGAUUAUAUAUAUUCCUAUCACAUGAACUUGUUCUUGACCAAAAUAGGCAUUUAAUUUGCCACUGAACUUUAAACAGUCAUCAAUCAUAAUUUGGAUUUUUAUACCCCACCUACGAUAGUAGAGGGGCAUUAUGUUUUCUGGUCUGUUCCUCCGUUCGUCCGUCCGUCUGUGCCUCCGUUCGUCCGUCCGCUUCAAGUUAAAGUUUUUGGUCAAGGUAGUUUUUGAAGAAGUUGAAGUCCAAUCAACUUGAAACUUAGUACACUUGUUCCCCAUGAUAUGAUCUUUCUAAUUUUAAUGCCAAAUUAUAGUUUUGACCCCAAUUUCAUGGUCCACUGAACAUAGAAAAUGAUAGUGUCAAGUUCAGGUUAAAGUUUUUGGUCAAGGUAGUUUUUGAUGAAGUUAAAGUAACAUCAACUUGAAACUUAGUACACAUGUUCCCUAUGAUAUGAUCUUUCUAAUUUUAAUUCCAAAUUAAAGUUUUGACCCCAAUUUCACGGUCCACUGAACAUAGAAAAUGAUAGUGCGAGUGGGGCAUUCGUGUACUAUGGACACAUUCUUGUUUAAAUAUUUAUUUUAUUAAAUAGUCAUGUGCAAUAAACAUAUACACUUUGAUGCACUAUCACAAAUUGAAAGUUGAUUACCAGUAUGGUGUUGAUUAAAGUAUGAUAGAGCACUUUUGACCCCUUGAAUUGGAAAAUCAAAAUGUACAUGUACUAUAAAUCUAGGAAAUAACAUCAUGCAGAUUUUUAUAAAACGUAAGUCUGUAAUUUUAUUUUUAAAAUUUUGUCUCUUCCAAAAAAAAGAAGAACAUGUGGUAUGGUUGUCAAUGAGACAACUCUCUACAAGAGACCAAAUGACAUAGGAAAUUAACAGCUAUACAUCACAGUACAGCCUUCAACAAUGAGCAAAGCCCAUACCUCAUAGUUAGCUCUUGUUAUAUACUAAGAACAUUUAUUGUUUGUGACAAGUUACCAAAUUCACAGUACUCCCAUUUUAUGAAAUGUCUCAUAAAAUAAUCAAGUUUUCUGAAAAAUGCCUUUAGAGAAAUUUUUUAGAAUUGUUUUUGAUUAAUUUUUGUGGUCUUGUUUUUGUAGGGAAGUAGAAAUAUUUAAAUGUUGUUUAUGUAAUCAUCAGACAAUGUUUGAAGACAAUAUAUUUGAACAUUUAAAUAGUGAAAAGCACAGACAGAAAGCAGGACGUGGUCCUCUGCCUAUGUAUGGACCUGGUGGGAAAAUAACAUUGAUUAAAGGUAAGGUUAUAGUGGUUAGUUACUUAAUCCUCUUUCCCCCUCUGCAGGUGUCAAUCGAAGAGCUAUCUGUAGUGGUAAGGCAAAAGAUUUGUUUUUGAACUCAACAAUAUGUGUAAUGCAUUGGCAUUAUUUAUUUUCUUGGAGUACACAUUUUAGAAUAUUGAUUUUAUUGAAUAAAAUGUUAAUGUGUCGUCAAUAAUGAAUGAAAUUUGAAGAAUCAAAAUUAUUUUAAUUAUUAAGUGUCAGAAAUAACCAUUCCUUGCCCUCUAUUAUGUGAGGGCCUUACAUAAAAGGAUAAAAUUUGUAGGGUUCAGUGCACUUCUUUUGUGAUCCCCCCAAAAAAGAAGAAAAUAGUUAAUUACAAAAAUAUUGAGAAAAAACAACAAAAGAACACACCAACACUUCACUCCUUCAAAAACAAACCUGUGAUUAAACAACCCUCAUGAUCAGACCUUAGAAAGAUAUAGAAUUUUAUUAUAGAUACAGAUAAACUGUAAACAGCAAUAAUGUUCAGCAAAGUAAGAUCUACAAAUAAUUUAACAUGACCAAAAUUGUCAGUUGAUCCCUUAAGGAGUUACUGCCCUUUAUAGUAAUUUUUUAACAAUUUUCAUAAAUUUUUGUAAUAUUUUUGUAAAUUUUUAUAAAUUGUAAAUUUUUUGAAAAUAUUUUUCACUGUAAUUACUGGGCCAAGUUCAUUAUAGAUAGAGAUAAUUGUAGCAACAAGAAUGUUCUGUAAAGUAAGAUCUACAAACACAUCACAAUCACCAAACACACAAUUUUGUUAUGAAUUUAUCUGUGUCCAUUGUUUAAUAUGCACCAAGGUGAGCAACACAGGCUCUUGAGAGCCUCUAGUUUUUAAAUCUGAAAUUUAAUGAUUUAUUUUUAGAAGACUUAUGAACUCUAAUGGGCUAUACAUGUUAAUGUCAGAGAGAGUAAGACAGUGGAUUAUUGCUGAUGAAAUAUAACAAUGUUAUAAUCAUGGGAUAAGAAAUAAAACAAAUGGUUACCAUUCCAGUUACUAAAGACGUUAAAAUUCUGAUUAUAAUCUAACAAAACAUACUGAGUAAAAAAAUCAGCAGACAGUUAAAGGUUUACACAAGGUUUACACUUCACUUUUUCCAAGGACAAUUGUUCUGUGUAGAUACCUUUUGAAUAAACUAUAAAAAAAAAAAGAUCAAUAGAUAUAGGAAGAUGUGAUAUGAGUGCCAAUGAGACAACUCUCCAUCCAAAUAACAAUUUAAACCUUUAAAUUUUUUUUUUUAUAUUCACAUUCAAGUUUAAACAAUCAACAGAUACUGUAUGUUUUAAAGAAUUUUAAAUUAUUUUUUAGAUGAUGGACCAAGUUUGCUUGGCCCAGGUCCACCUUUAGGAGGGCAUGGUCAUGGCCCAAGACCACCAAUAAAUAAGGGUCGAAGACCACCAUCACUCUUAGAUAUGGAUGAACCACCUCCUAGAGCUCUGUUAGACAUGAGACUUAACAGAGGUGGUCCUAGGAGACCUAGUAUAGAGCCUGGACCUGGAAUGAUGGAUAACCCUCCAUCUAAUAGGUCUCCAUUGUUUGAUGGCCCCCCAAGGCGAUUUGAUGGACCAAGGGGUCGUGGUGGUUUUGAUGGACCUAGAGGUCGUGAUGAUUUUGAUAGACCUAGGGGUCCUCCUGGAUUUGAUGUACCUAGGGAUUUUGAUGGGCCAAGAGGCCCUGGGGGCUUUGAUGGACCUAGAGGCCCUGGGGGCUUUGAUGGACCCAGAGGUCCUGGAGGCUUUGAUGGACCAAGAGGUCGUGGUGGCUUUGAUAGACAUAGAGGACGUGGGGGCUUUGAUGGACCAAGGGGACGUGAUGAUUUUGAUAGACCUAGGGGUCCUUUUGUAUUAGAUGGACCUAGAGACUUUGAUGAUUUCGAUGGGCCGAGGGGUCGUGGGGGUUUUGAUGGACCUAGAGGCAUGUUUGAUAUGCCCCAUGAUAGAUUCCGUGAACCAUUCAGGGAAAGGCCUCCUUUUGAUCUUAUGGAAGUGAGCGAUGAAGAAGUGGACCGUGACCCAAAUCCCUUCAGGAGUUUGGAGAGAAGAGAAAGAAAAUCCAGAAACUUUAGAAAUGAUGAUGUGCCAUUUGACCGUCGCAAUCGUAGAGGUCCAAUGGGUCGUAGAAAUUCAGCAGAUGAAGAAAUGUCAUGA
rnacentral:lncRNA from 1 species